GACGAACGCUGGCGGCGUGCCUAAUACAUGCAAGUCGAACGAGCGCGCCCGUGGCUUGCUGUGGUGAUUUUAGUGGCAAACGGGUGAGUAACCCGUGGUUAACCUGCCUAUCAUACUGGGAUACCAUCUGAAAACGGGUGCUAAAACCGGAUUGCCUUUUGAACCGCAUGGUUCGAAGCGGAAAAGUGUCAUCUUCGUCUGUUUAUGUUGGGUACGGCGUUGCAUUAGCUAGUUGGUGAGGUAACGGCUUACCAAGGCAGGGCUGGAAAGCCGACCUGAGAGGGUGAUUGGCCACACUGGGACUGAGACACGGCCCACACUCCUACGGGAGGCAGCAGGAGGGAAUCUGCCGCAAUGGACGGAAGCCUGACGGAGCAACGCCGCGUGAGUGAGGAAGGUAUUCGGAUCGUAAGACUCUGUUUUUAGGGAAGAACAAAUGCUAUAGUAACUGUGCAGGGCUUGACGGUAGCUAAGCAGAAAGCCACGGCUAACUACGUG
rnacentral:rRNA from 1 species